rnacentral:tRNA from 1 species
AAGGGUAUAGCUCAAGUGGUAGAGCACAUGCCUAGCAUGUAUGAAGUCCUGGGUUCAAUCCCCAGUACCUCCU